rnacentral:rRNA from 1 species
AACGGCCGCGGUAUCCUAACCGUGCGAAGGUAGCGUAAUCACUUGUUCUUUAAAUGAGGACUAGUAUGAAUGGCACCACGAGGGUUAAACUGUCUCCUUUUUUUAAUCAGUGAAACUAAUCUCCCCGUGAAGAAGCGGGGAUUCUUUUAUAAGACGAGAAGACCCUAUGGAGCUUUAAACAAGUUAACACCUGCUACUAAUCUUCACUUUACUGAACCACCACAUUAAGUAUAGCACCUCUGAUUAACAGUUUUCGAUUGGGGUGAUCAUGGAGCAAAAAUCAACCUCCACGACGAAAAGGAACACCUCCUUGAGCCAAAAGCUACAACUUUAAGCACUAAAAAACUAACGCACUUUGACCCAAUUCUUUGAGCAACGAACCAAGUUACCCUAGGGAUAACAGCGCAAUCCACUUUAAGAGCUCCUAUCGACAAGUGGGUUUACGACCUCGAUGUUGGAUCAGGGUAUCCCAGUGGUG